GGAAAUGUGUGAUGAGGUGCUGGAGACACAAAACAUCGAGAAGCCCUGCUCAUCAGAGACAGAGAAAGAAAUGUGUAAUGAGGCACUGGGGACAGAGAACAUCGAGAAGCCCUGCUCAUCAGAGACAGAGAAAACACAUUUACAGGAAAUGUGUAAUGAAGCGCUGGGGACACAGAACAUUGAGAAGCCCUGCUCAUCAGAAACAGAGAAAGAAAUGUGUAAUGAGGCGCUGGGGACACAGAACAUCGAAAAGCCCUGCUCAUCAGAAGCAGAGA